GGUUAAGCGACUAAGCGUACACGGUGGAUGCCCUGGCAGUCAGAGGCGAUGAAGGACGUGCUAAUCUGCGAAAAGCGUCGGUAAGGUGAUAUGAACCGUUAUAACCGGCGAUGUCCGAAUGGGGAAACCCAGUGCAAUUCGUUGCACUAUCGUUAACUGAAUACAUAGGUUAACGAGGCGAACCGGGGGAACUGAAACAUCUAAGUACCCCGAGGAAAAGAAAUCAACCGAGAUUCCCCCAGUAGCGGCGAGCGAACGGGGAGCAGCCCAGAGUCUGAAUCAGCUUGUGUGUUAGUGGAACGGUCUGGAAAGUCCGACGGUACAGGGUGAUAGUCCCGUACACCAAAAUGCACAGGCUGUGAACUCGAAGAGUAGGGCGGGACACGUGGUAUCCUGUCUGAAUAUGGGGGGACCAUCCUCCAAGGCUAAAUACUCCUGACUGACCGAUAGUGAACCAGUACCGUGAGGGAAAGGCGAAAAGAACCCCGGCGAGGGGAGUGAAAAAGAACCUGAAACCGUGUACGUACAAGCAGUGGGAGCACCUUCGGGUGUGACUGCGUACCUUUUGUAUAAUGGGUCAGCGACUUAUAUUCUGUAGCAAGGUUAACCGUAUAGGGGAGCCGCAGGGAAACCGAGUCUUAACUGGGCGUUAAGUUGCAGGGUAUAGACCCGAAACCCGGUGAUCUAGCCAUGGGCAGGUUGAAGGUUGGGUAACACUAACUGGAGGACCGAACCGACUAAUGUUGAAAAAUUAGCGGAUGACUUGUGGCUGGGGGUGAAAGGCCAAUCAAACCGGGAGAUAGCUGGUUCUCCCCGAAAGCUAUUUAGGUAGCGCCUCGUGAAUUCAUCUUCGGGGGUAGAGCACUGUUUCGGCUAGGGGGUCAUCCCGACUUACCAACCCGAUGCAAACUACGAAUACCGAAGAAUGUUAUCACGGGAGACACACGGCGGGUGCUAACGUCCGUCGUGAAGAGGGAAACAACCCAGACCGCCAGCUAAGGUCCCAAAGUCAUGGUUAAGUGGGAAACGAUGUGGGAAGGCACAGACAGCCAGGAUGUUGGCUUAGAAGCAGCCAUCAUUUAAAGAAAGCGUAAUAGCUCACUGGUCGAGUCGGCCUGCGCGGAAGAUGUAACGGGGCUAAACCAUGCACCGAAGCUGCGGCAGCGACACUAUGUGUUGUUGGGUAGGGGAGCGUUCUGUAAGCCUGCGAAGGUGUGCUGUGAGGCAUGCUGGAGGUAUCAGAAGUGCGAAUGCUGACAUAAGUAACGAUAAAGCGGGUGAAAAGCCCGCUCGCCGGAAGACCAAGGGUUCCUGUCCAACGUUAAUCGGGGCAGGGUGAGUCGACCCCUAAGGCGAGGCCGAAAGGCGUAGUCGAUGGGAAACAGGUUAAUAUUCCUGUACUUGGUGUUACUGCGAAGGGGGGACGGAGAAGGCUAUGUUAGCCGGGCGACGGUUGUCCCGGUUUAAGCAUGUAGGCUGGUUGUCCAGGCAAAUCCGGAUAAUCAAGGCUGAGGUGUGAUGACGAGGCACUACGGUGCUGAAGUAACAAAUGCCCUGCUUCCAGGAAAAGCCUCUAAGCAUCAGGUAACAUCAAAUCGUACCCCAAACCGACACAGGUGGUCAGGUAGAGAAUACCAAGGCGCUUGAGAGAACUCGGGUGAAGGAACUAGGCAAAAUGGUGCCGUAACUUCGGGAGAAGGCACGCUGGUGUGUAGGUGAAGUCCCUGCGGAUGGAGCUGAGACCAGUCGAAGAUACCAGCUGGCUGCAACUGUUUAUUAAAAACACAGCACUGUGCAAACACGAAAGUGGACGUAUACGGUGUGACGCCUGCCCGGUGCCGGAAGGUUAAUUGAUGGGGUUAUCCGUAAGGAGAAGCUCUUGAUCGAAGCCCCGGUAAACGGCGGCCGUAACUAUAACGGUCCUAAGGUAGCGAAAUUCCUUGUCGGGUAAGUUCCGACCUGCACGAAUGGCGUAAUGAUGGCCAGGCUGUCUCCACCCGAGACUCAGUGAAAUUGAACUCGCUGUGAAGAUGCAGUGUACCCGCGGCAAGACGGAAAGACCCCGUGAACCUUUACUAUAGCUUGACACUGAACAUUGAGCCUUGAUGUGUAGGAUAGGUGGGAGGCUUUGAAGCGUGGACGCCAGUCUGCGUGGAGCCAACCUUGAAAUACCACCCUUUAAUGUUUGAUGUUCUAACGUUGGCCCCUGACCGGGGUUGCGGACAGUGUCUGGUGGGUAGUUUGACUGGGGCGGUCUCCUCCCAAAGCGUAACGGAGGAGCACGAAGGUUAGCUAAUCCUGGUCGGACAUCAGGAGGUUAGUGCAAUGGCAUAAGCUAGCUUGACUGCGAGCGUGACGGCGCGAGCAGGUGCGAAAGCAGGUCAUAGUGAUCCGGUGGUUCUGAAUGGAAGGGCCAUCGCUCAACGGAUAAAAGGUACUCCGGGGAUAACAGGCUGAUACCGCCCAAGAGUUCAUAUCGACGGCGGUGUUUGGCACCUCGAUGUCGGCUCAUCACAUCCUGGGGCUGAAGUAGGUCCCAAGGGUAUGGCUGUUCGCCAUUUAAAGUGGUACGCGAGCUGGGUUUAGAACGUCGUGAGACAGUUCGGUCCCUAUCUGCCGUGGGCGCUGGAGAAUUGAGGGGGGCUGCUCCUAGUACGAGAGGACCGGAGUGGACGCAUCACUGGUGUUCGGGUUGUCAUGCCAAUGGCACUGCCCGGUAGCUAAAUGCGGAAGAGAUAAGUGCUGAAAGCAUCUAAGCACGAAACUUGCCCCGAGAUGAGUUCUCCCUGAGACUUUAAGUCUCCUGAAGGAACGUUGAAGACGACGACGUUGAUAGGCCGGGUGUGUAAGCGCAGCGAUGCGUUGAGCUAACCGGUACUAAUGAACCGUGAGGCUUAACCUU
rnacentral:rRNA from 1 species